GUGACCUCAAAUCAGGUAGGACUACCCGCUGAACUUAAGCAUAUCAAUAAGCGGAGGAAAAGAAACUAACAAGGAUUCCCCUAGUAACUGCGAGUGAAGCGGGAAAAGCUCAAAUUUAAAAUCUGGCAGUCUUUGGCUGUCCGAGUUGUAAUCUAGAGAAGUGCUAUCCGCGCUGGACCGUGUACAAGUCUCCUGGAAUGGAGCGUCAUAGAGGGUGAGAAUCCCGUCUUUGACACGGACUGCCAGGGCUUUUGGAUGUGCUCUCAAAGAGUCGAGUUGUUUGGGAAUGCAGCUCAAAAUGGGUGGUAAAUUCCAUCUAAAGCUAAAUAUUGGCGAGAGACCGAUAGCGAACAAGUACCGUGAGGGAAAGAUGAAAAGAACUUUGGAAAGAGAGUUAAACAGUACGU
rnacentral:rRNA from 1 species